rnacentral:rRNA from 1 species
UACCUGAUAGUAUGGUGAGAUUGCAUGAUAACACCAUUAAAGAUUUAUUGGUAAACGAUGGGGAUGCGUUCCAUUAGGUAGUAGGCGGGGUAACGGCCCACCUAGCCUGCGAUGGAUAGGGGUUCUGAGAGGAAGGUCCCCCACAUUGGAACUGAGACACGGUCCAAACUCCUACGGGAGGCAGCAGUGAGGAAUAUUGGUCAAUGGGCGAGAGCCUGAACCAGCCAAGUAGCGUGAAGGAUGAAGGUCCUACGGAUUGUAAACUUCUUUUAUACGGGAAUAAAGUUUCCUACGUGUAGGAUUUUGUAUGUACCGUAUGAAUAAGCAUCGGCUAACUCCGUGCCAGCAGCCGCGGUAAUACGGAGGAUGCGAGCGUUAUCCGGAUUUAUUGGGUUUAAAGGGAGCGCAGACGGGAGAUUAAGUCAGUUGUGAAAGUUUGCGGCUCAACCGUAAAAUUGCAGUUGAUACUGGUUUCCUUGAGUGCAGUUGAGGCAGGCGGAAUUCGUGGUGUAGCGGUGAAAUGCUUAGAUAUCACGAAGAACCCCGAUUGCGAAGGCAGCUUGCUAAACUGUAACU